rnacentral:rRNA from 1 species
AGCAGCCGCGGUAAUUCCAGCUCCAAUAGCGUAUAUUAAAGUUGUUGCAGUUAAAAAAGCUCGUAGUUGAAUUUCGGGAUCAGUACGCUGGUCGUGCCUUUGGUAUGUACUGGUGUCACUGAUUCCUCCCUUCUGAAGAACCGUUAUGCCAUUUAUUUGGUGUGGCGGGGAAUCAGGACUGUUACUUUGAAAAAAUUAGAGUGUUUAAAGCAGGCUCGCGCUUGAAUACAUUAGCAUGGAAUAAUGAAAUAGGACGUUUGAUCUUAUUUUGUUGGUUUCUAGGAUCGACGUAAUGAUUAAUAGGGAUAGUUGGGGGCAUUAGUAUUCAAUUGUCAGAGGUGAAAUUCUUGGAUUUAUUGAAGACUAACUACUGCGAAAGCAUUUGCCAAGGAUGUUUUCAUUAAUCAAGAACGAAAGUUAGGGGAUCGAAGACGAUCAGAUACCGUCGUAGUCUUAACCAUAAACUAUGCCGACUAGGGAUCGGAUGAUGUUAAUUUUUUAAUGACUCAUUCGGCGUACC